UUUGUGAAACAGCCCUCAGACCAGGAGAAUGCAGACACAAUCGUUGAGGAACAAAAGCAGGAGAUCUCAUCACCGGAAGACUGGAACUGACCAUGAAGUGGAACACCCAGAGAAAUCCAAUGAUUCUGAUCCAGCAACCAGUGAUUCAACACAGGAUAAACCUGAAAGAACAGGCGAACAAAGUAGGCAAUCAAGACCAGCCCCUGCUGAGAUAAGUGACAAAGAAGUCCUGCAUACACAUCUUCUGAUGAUGGCAAUUACACCUGUCAAUCAACUACCAGGCUUGGAUCUGAAGACGAUUGUUUAAUUCCUGUGAAAUCAAGAUGUAGACCAGUUGUUCAGUAAAGAGUCAGAUUCACAUCUUGCCCUUGACAUCCAUGCAUCUCGAAGAUUUUGAAGUUCAAUUUGGACCCAUUUCUGGUCAUGAUGCGGAUGAUCAAGACUCCACUCUUCCCUGGAAUCAGCAUGACCUCAACACAAUGCAGCAUUCAACUCUGAUAGACGGACCCGUUUCAUCAAACAGUCUUCCAGCAUCACCAGACCGAUCUGAAAAAGAAGUCCUUUAUGUGAAAUUAAGACGAGUCAACAUAAUUCAUGAUGUCCUUAAUCUCUUCAUGGACCCAAACGUACUGAAUGUUGACCUAAAAAUGGCAUUACAAAAUGAGAAAGCUAUGGACAGUGAUGGUGUGUCAAGAGAAGUGUACUCUGCUUUCUGGGAACAUUUCUUGGAACAGUGCGAGGGCGGAAAUGAACGAGUACCCCAGACUGCGACCAGACUAUUGUGAAAAGGAAUGGCAAGCUGUUGGAAGAGUUUGGUUGAAAGGAUUCUUGGACCACAACAUCAUACCAAUCAGACUGUCACCAGCUUUUACUCUGGCCUGUUGUCAAGGAGUCAGUUCAGUGGAUGAAGAACUUGAUGUCAUUUGCCAGAUUUCUUUCAGUGACAGAGCGAGCAUCGGUUGAAAAGGCACUACAUGGCAACAUGGAUGAAAGUGAUGAGGAGGACCUACUUGACCUCUUCUCAAGAAUGGGCUCACACUGCCUGCCCUCUAAAGACAACUUAAGGGCUGCCAUUUUAACAAUGGCACACAAAGCUCUUCUAGAGCCAAAGUUCAUUAUUGACUGUUUCCACUCCAGUGUCCACAAUGCUGUGCUGAUACUUAUAACCAAAGAGAGCAUAAUGGAACUUUAUGACUCUAAAAGAGCAACUAACAAUAAAGUGGCACUGAUGAUAAAGCCAUCAACCGUGUUCCACAGGAACCAGGUUCCAGUUUGCCAUGUUCUCCGUGCCACAGUCGCCUCUGGCAAUCCUUGGACAACCACUUAAUUUCUGGACUGCCUCCAUAUAAUAGGCUCCAACAAUUUUUGGGUCACUGCUUGUAGUAAAUGCAUUCAUCCAGAUGAUUUUCCGUGAAAACCCGUCAAUGCAGCCGUUGAUACAGAUACCAAAUGGCUUCAAUUUGUCAUGAGUCCAAGUGCCAAAUGUAAUUGGGCCCCUGUGCAAAAUACUUUCGGCGAUGGAGACGUCUAGUUCCUCUGAGUUCAACACCCUUGGAUCUAGCUCUUUUAGAAUUAAACGAACGUCUUCUUUCCUGACAUGUAAUCUGUUUUCCUUGCAUUUUGUGUACAUCCACCUAUACCCAUGGAGUUGGCCAGAUGUUUGUAAUUGUUCAGAAAUUAAAGAAAUUACCAAAUCA